CUUUUUAACAGAUGAAACGGAGGCACACAGAGGCUUGGGGCCUUAUCGCAGGUCACACGUCACGUCAGUGGAGCUGGGCUGGGGCAGGUGGCACCUGCAGGUAAAUUUCUAUGUGGUCUGCAAGCCCCGCAGGGACAUGGGUUUUAACCUAUAAGGAUAAUGCAGGUCAGCCAUGGAAAGUGACCGAGGGAAGAUGAGAGCCAGGAUGCAGAGUGCAGUGUGGAUUGGAGGGACGGAGACCAGAGUCUGGGUCUGGACUCGGCAGCAGGAGCUUGAUGAGUGGAAAUGCUUUCUGUGGGUGCUCCCACCAGCUGAGCUUUGGCAGGAAGACUCAGAGAAAACCUGUAAGGAAAAAAAAAAGUUCCUGCAAGAUGGAGGUCAAACUGGUUCCAGCAUGCUUCUGCUCCCAGGUGGCCUAGAGGUGGAAGCUAUUCGGAUGAAAACACUGUUCCACACUAAAUUCUCUCAGCUUGAAGUUACCCAAUUCCACAGGCAAGAGAAGCCUGACUCUUCACAGGCUGCACACUCCCUUUAAUUUGAGCAAGUGACCUAAGUUUUGCCUAUUCAUUGAUAUUUUGCCAAAUUCUAGUAUUUUAAGGAGUAUGACCUGAAACCAGACAAGUUGGCACAUGCAUGUAAUCUUAGCACUCAGGAGGCUGAGGCAAGAGGACCACAGUGAGAUCCUAUCUCAAAAAAAAAAAAAAAAAAAAAGACCCAAUGACAAAGAAUAUAGAUGUCCUGCAUUUGUGCUCCCUUUCUCACAUUCUCUAGCCUUUUCCCUAUUAGAAUCAGUUAAUAUUUGGUUGUUUUACACACUACAAAAUCAAGUAAGGGGUAGAAGAAACAGGAAGUGCCAGAU
rnacentral:lncRNA from 1 species